CAGUAGCCGCGGUAAUACGUAGGGUGCGAGCGUUAAUCGGAAUUACUGGGCGUAAAGCGUGCGCAGGCGGUUGUGUAAGACAGGUGUGAAAUCCCCGGGCUUAACCUGGGAACUGCGCUUGUGACUGCACAGCUAGAGUAUGGCAGAGGGGGGUGGAAUUCCACGUGUAGCAGUGAAAUGCGUAGAGAUGUGGAGGAACACCGAUGGCGAAGGCAGCCCCCUGGGCCAAUACUGACGCUCAUGCACGAAAGCGUGGGGAGCAAACAGGAUUAGAGACCCCAGUAGUCCCUGUCUCUUAUAC
rnacentral:rRNA from 1 species